rnacentral:rRNA from 1 species
AGAGUUUGAUCCUGGCUCAGAAUCAACGCUGGCGGCGCGCUUAACACAUGCAAGUCGAACGGGAAAGUGGAGCAAUCCAUGAGUACAGUGGCGUACGGGUGAGUAACACGUGGGUAAUCUACCUCUUAGUGGGGAAUAACCCUGGGAAACCGGGGCUAAUACCGCAUAAGCCUGAGAAGGGAAAGCAGCAAUGCGCUGAGAGAGGAGCCCGCGGCCGAUUAGCUAGUUGGUAGGGUAAAGGCCUACCAAGGCAGAGAUCGGUAGCCGGCCUGAGAGGGCACACGGCCACACUGGCACUGAAACACGGGCCAGACUCCUACGGGAGGCAGCAGUGGGGAAUCUUGCACAAUGGGGGCAACCCUGAUGCAGCGACGCCGCGUGAGCGAUGAAGCCCUUCGGGGUGUAAAGCUCUUUCGUCAGGGAAGAUGAUGACGGUACCUGGAGAAGCAGCUGCGGCUAACUACGUGCCAGCAGCCGCGGUAAUACGUAGGCAGCGAGCGUUGUUCGGAGUUACUGGGCGUAAAGGGUGUGUAGGCGGUUCUUUAAGUUUGGUGUGAAAUCUCCCGGCUCAACCGGGAGGGUGCGCCGAAUACUGAGGGACUAGAGUGCGGGAGAGGAAAGUGGAAUUCCUGGUGUAGCGGUGAAAUGCGUAGAUAUCAGGAGGAACACCGGUGGUGUAGACGGCUUUCUGGACCGUAACUGACGCUGAGACACGAAAGCGUGGGUAGCAAACAGGAUUAGAUACCCUAGUAGUCC